GAUUAUUAUAGAUGAGGAUGUUGGCAUACAGGAAGGGUUUACACGUCUAGCACCAGGGGCUGGUAUUGCGGUGGAACGAGCAUGGUUGUAUCGUGUGGCAUCAGGGGUAGGAGUAAUAACAUCAAGUUCACCUGGAGAAUAUGAAAUCAUAAAACGUAUGAUAGAUGGGUUUUAUGAACCGUGGGAACUUGGCAUUAAAGGAGGGACAGAAAAAUUCGAGGGAACAGUUCUCUAUGAAUCGUUGAAGUGUUACGCUCAGCAUUGUUUUCAUAUGGGUGUAUCAUCAUUCAGACGAGCAUGGAACCAGAAAAUGGCAACUAGUAGAAGAACCUUACAACGAUUAAAAUUGAGAAAAAACAUCCAAGCUUAGUGAAAUUGAUGUCACAGUUAGACAAUUGUGAUGCCAUAGUAACUGCUAUACAAGGACAACGUCACUGUUAAGGGAAAGAUGGUGUCACUGUUACACAAGGAUAGUGUCACUGUUAUACAAGAAUGGUGUCACUGUUACACAAGGAUAGUGUCACUGUUACACAAGGAAGGUGUCACUGUUACACAAGGAUGGUGUCACUGUUAUACAAGGAUGGUGUCACUGUUAUACAAGGAUGGUGUCACUGUUAUACAAGAAUGGUGUCACUGUUACACAAUGAUGGUGUCACUGUUAUACAAGAAUGGUGUCACUGUUAUACAAUGAUGGUGUCACUGUUAUACAAGAAUGAUGUCACUGUUAUACAAUGAUGGUGUCACUGUUACACAAGAAUGAUGUCACUGUUAUACAAGGAAGGUGUCACUGUUACACAAGGAUGAUGUCACUGUUAUACAAGGAUGGUGUUACUGUUGUAUAAAGAUGAUGUUACUGUUAUAUAAUAGUAGCUGUAACAAUAACAAGUGACAUUAGUUUUAUAAUACAGGGGUUUUGUAUAACAGUGAUUUCUACAACAAUAUAAAGUUUUUUUAUUUGAAGACUGACAUAGUAACUUAUAUCAUUACGAUAAUCCUUACUGUACAAACCAUAUUGUGACUUGAUUACACAGACAGGAGUUUUAUUCUGUUGUGAAUUUGUAAGAACGUAAACCUUGUUGUAUUUCUAUUGACAUGCAUGGAUACAGAGUUGUAUUUUUAAAGGGAAACACAGACAUGACCCCAAUUUUUGUGACCCCUCUUAUAAAAACCCCAAAAUUUAAUAUGCUCCUGUGUUUAUAUUGUAAAUUAGUUGCCAUAGAUAGUUAUGUUUAUUCGUUCAGUUAGUUAGCAUACAAUAAAGUUUUGAAAACAGUACUUGUUGAUGUGUUAAUAAUUUUAAAAUGAUUUAUGAAAUAUAUGAACAUUAUCGCAUGUUUUUAACCAAGCCUAUGUUAUAUCAUGUUUAGUUUUGUUUUAAAGGUUGCAAUACUAUAUUAUAUAAUAAACUGUAUUAUUUAGAUAGUUUACAAAUGACUUUCUAAUUAUGAUAAUAUCUUUCUGUUACAGGUUUAGAACAGUUUGUUAUGGUUGAAGAUCCGAUGACGACUACACCAUCAAAACAACGUGUGACAUGUGACGUUUGCUUGAAGACGUUUAAAGAUAAUGGGACAUUAAAUCGGCACAAGAAAAUUCACAGCGAUGAAAAGCCAUUUCAGUGUCAGAUUUGUUACCGGCGUUUUAUACGUAAAGAUUAUCUUGCUAGUCACAUGGUUACACAUGCCAAGUUUUGAUUGGAUAUCAUGGAAUAAGAUUCAUUGUGAUAAACUAUCUUUCCUAGAAAUGUUUGAUUAAUUUUUUUUUAACUUGAUUAUAUGAUUUGGAAUUAUGGAUUUACUAUUAAACUUCUGUGAGGGAUAGAGAAAAUGUACGUUAGAUGAAUGUAUUUAUCAGAAGGUGCUCAGAAAAGUUUUUGAAAAAUACCUUAAUUUUGUAUAUAAUCAGUAUAUAUAAUACUUUUUAUGAAUGAAUAAUACAUGUAUAAUUAUGUCAUGUAUUGUUAUACUUUUAAUGGCAAAUUUGCUUUUAAAUAUUUAAACUAUUCAUAUAAACAGACGCAUAGAUUAUGUUAUGGAAAAUAAA